ensembl:lncRNA
CUUAUAUCUGUCUUGAAAGGCAGCUAAGAGCAAGUCUUCAUUCUGCAGGGAGAAUGACAAAAAUCUGGAGCUAACACAGAAUCAGCCCUUUAGAGUGUGAGAACAGCCACCAUAGCAGAGAGACGACAGGAAGAACAAGUGCUUGAGUUAAUGUGUGUACUAGACCAACAGAUGAACAACUUCCUGGAAAGCAACCAAAGUGGAAUGAACUAGAGUUAUAAAUAAAGCAUUGCUAGUGCAUGUACGGCAAGUCUGGAAGCUUGUCAUAGCGCCUGCUUUUUAUUAUGCUGUUUUUUGUCAGUGUUUGACACAUGCCCUGGCUUGUAGUAGAGCAACAUUUGUGCGCUCUUGUUUUCCCAAAAAAAAACAAGUGAGCCUGCUUUGUUCCAUUCAGGAAACAAAAUCUGCAACCAUGCAUUUAAAAAAACUGGGGAACGCAUUGUACAGCCAGCGUUUAUCCUCUGACAGCCAUGUUCCAAGAGGGAAUGGAUUUUUAAACACAGGUGUUUGGAGGAAGUUUUCAACUUGGCCUAAAAGAAUUUGUCAGGCCUGUGAACCCCACAAAACCCUGCUAGAGAUGGUUCACAGUUGGUUUGUGGCAGAGGCAGGCAUACUGGCCUGAUGCUGGAGCACCACACUACCUGAGGAAGAGUUGGCCUUGUAAGCUGGAGCAGUGUGGGAAGGGCUGGCAAGAUCUGCCAGCUUGAACCAGGACUUCUUCCACCAUCCCUGGAAGCACUAUGUUGAGGAGGAGCUGGAGCAGAAAAGAAUGCUUUGGCUAGAGGAAAGAGUUGUUAUUGCUUUUGGUUUGCUCCUCAAUCAGCAGUCAGAUGAUUGAAUUUGCAGUACAUAAGGCUACAGCAACAAUAGCCUUCCUCUUAAUAAAAAACUAGCACCUUACAAAGGGUGAGCAGUUGCUGUCUGUAGUGUGUGGUCUUAGUUCUUCUAAUAGAAAGUAAGCAUUUGUCUCCAUAAGCAGGA